rnacentral:lncRNA from 1 species
GGAGCUGCGAGGAAUGUAUCUGAAAUCCAAAAUCCAAAAUUAAUCAGACCAAUUAGUAGACACGUAUAUUGAACUGACAGAUACCGUGAUCUGGAAGAUGUAAUUGUGUAUUUUGUCAUCUGUAAAAUGUAAACAGUUUGGAGAUACAUGAUGAUGAUCUUAAAUAUGUCUGCUGUAAUUAAUGAGCUUUGAUACCUUGCGAUUGGAUGUACUUGCGUCAUUAAGUGUAGAGUAAAAUAUCCUGUCGUAAUAAUAAAACUAAGAAUCAACAAGACAUGACCGAUUUCGAAGGAGGUUUUCUCUUUACACGGCCUACAUUGAUGUUGCACUGCAUGAAAACAUAUCACAAGAGCAAUUAGUAAAAUAAUAUCUUCGAGUAUUGAAG